rnacentral:rRNA from 1 species
AUUGGACGCUGGCGGCAUGCCUUACACAUGCAAGUCGAACGGUAACAGGUCUUCGGAUGCUGACGAGUGGCGAACGGGUGAGUAAUACAUCGGAACGUGCCCGAUCGUGGGGGAUAACGGAGCGAAGGCUUUGCUAAUACCGCAUACGAUCUACGGAUGAAAGCAGGGGACCGCAAGGCCUUGCGCGAACGGAGCGGCCGAUGGCAGAUUAGGUAGUUGGUGGGAUAAAAGCUUACCAAGCCGACGAUCUGUAGCUGGUCUGAGAGGACGACCAGCCACACUGGGACUGAGACACGGCCCAGACUCCUACGGGAGGCAGCAGUGGGGAAUUUUGGACAAUGGGCGCAAGCCUGAUCCAGCAAUGCCGCGUGCAGGAUGAAGGCCUUCGGGUUGUAAACUGCUUUUGUACGGAACGAAAAGGCUCUGGUUAAUACCUGGGGCUCAUGACGGUACCGUAAGAAUAAGCACCGGCUAACUACGUGCCAGCAGCCGCCGUAACAC